rnacentral:rRNA from 1 species
ACCCCAUAAUGAUAUUGAGAGGCAUCUUUUGAUAUUUAAAGUUUCGACGGUACGGGAUGGGCAUGCGUGACAUUAGCUAGUUGGUAGGGUAACGGCCUACCAAGGCUACGAUGUCUAGGGGUCCUGAGAGGGUGAUCCCCCACACUGGUACUGAGACACGGACCAGACUCCUACGGGAGGCAGCAGUGAGGAAUAUUGGUCAAUGGGCGCAAGCCUGAACCAGCCAUCCCGCGUGCAGGAAGAAGGCGCUAUGCGUCGUAAACUGCUUUUCCAGGGGAAGAAAACCUGAUACGUGUAUCGGCUUGCCGGUACCCUGGGAAUAAGCAUCGGCUAACUCCGUGCCAGCAGCCGCGGUAAUACGGAGGAUGCGAGCGUUAUCCGGAUUUAUUGGGUUUAAAGGGUGCGUAGGCGGAUUAAUAAGUCAGUGGUGAAAACC